UACGUAGGGCGCAAGCGUUGUCCGGAAUUAUUGGGCGUAAAGAGCUCGUAGGCGGCUUGUCACGUCGGGUGUGAAAGCCCCGGGCUCAACCUGGGAAUUGCAUUCGAGACUGAAUAGCUAGGGUACGGUAGAGGGAAGUGGAAUUUCCGGUGUAGCGGUGAAAUGCGUAGAUAUCGGAAGGAACAUCAGUGGCGAAAGCGACUUCCUGGACCAGUACCGACGUUCAGGCACGAAAGCGUGGGGAGCAAACAGG
rnacentral:rRNA from 1 species